GAUGAACGCUGGCGGCGUGCCUAAUACAUGCAAGUCGAGCGAACAGACGAGGAGCUUGCUCCUCUGACGUUAGCGGCGGACGGGUGAGUAACACGUGGAUAACCUACCUAUAAGACUGGGAUAACUUCGGGAAACCGGAGCUAAUACCGGAUAAUAUAUUGAACCGCAUGGUUCAAUAGUGAAAGACGGUUUUGCUGUCACUUAUAGAUGGAUCCGCGCCGCAUUAGCUAGUUGGUAAGGUAACGGCUUACCAAGGCAACGAUGCGUAGCCGACCUGAGAGGUUGAUCGGCCAAACUGGAACUGAGACACGGUCCAGACUCCUACGGGAGGCAGCAGUAGGGAAUCUUCCGCAAUGGGCGAAAGCCUGACGGAGCAACGCCGCGUGAGUGAUGAAGGUCUUCGGAUCGUAAAACUCUGUUAUUAGGGAAGAACAAAUGUGUAAGUAACUAUGCACGUCUUGACGGUACCUAAUCAGAAAGCCACGGCUAACUACGUG
rnacentral:rRNA from 1 species